AUUGAACGCUGGCGGCAUGCUUUACACAUGCAAGUCGAACGGUAACAGGCCGCAAGGUGCUGACGAGUGGCGAACGGGUGAGUAAUGCAUCGGAACGUGCCCAGUCGUGGGGGAUAACUACUCGAAAGAGUAGCUAAUACCGCAUACGAUCUAUGGAUGACAGCGGGGGACCGUAAGGCCUCGCGCGAUUGGAGCGGCCGAUGUCAGAUUAGGUAGUUGGUGGGGUAAAGGCUCACCAAGCCAACGAUCUGUAGCUGGUCUGAGAGGACGACCAGCCACACUGGGACUGAGACACGGCCCAGACUCCUGCGGGAGGCAGCAGUGGGGAAUUUUGGACAAUGGGCGCAAGCCUGAUCCAGCAAUGCCGCGUGCAGGAAGAAGGCCUUCGGGUUGUAAACUGCUUUUGUACGGAACGAAACGGCUCUGGUUAAUACCCGGGGCUAAUGACGGUACCGUAAGAAUAAGCACCGGCUAACUACGUG
rnacentral:rRNA from 1 species